GGUGGCUCAGUGGUGGAGUGUUUGCCUUACAUGCACAAGGCCCUGGGUUCGAUUCCUCAGCACCA
rnacentral:tRNA from 1 species